rfam:Ictidomys tridecemlineatus contig063864, whole genome shotgun sequence.
GUGGGUGUAACUCAGUGACAGCGUACUUGCCUAGCAUGCAUGAGGCCCUGGGUUCAAUCCCCAGCACCACA